CAAUAGCGUAUAUUAAAGUUGUUGCAGUUAAAAAGCUCGUAGUUGGAUUUCUGGUGGGAGCGAUCGGUCUGGCGCUUAGCGCGAGUACUUGCAUCGUCUCCGGCCAUCCUUGGGGAGAGUCUGUCUGGCAUUAGGUUGUCGGGCAGAGGAUCCUCAUCGUUUACUGUGAAAAAAUUAGAGUGUUCAAAGCAGGCUUAUGCCGUUGAAUAUAUUAGCAUGGAAUAAUAAGAUAGGACUUUGGUACUAUUUUGUUGGUUUGCGCACCAAAGUAAUGAUUAAUAGGGACAGUUGGGGGUAUUCGUAUUCCGUGGUCAGAGGUGAAAUUCUUGGAUUUACGGAAGACGAACUACUGCGAAAGCAUUUACCAAGGAUGUUUUCAUUAA
rnacentral:rRNA from 1 species